AUGUUCGUUUUCAUAUUUUUAUGUUAGUUUGGAAAAUGAGUUUUCUUCUGUUGCGUUUAAAUAUGUAUGGGCUUCGUUCGUUUUUUGGGUUUAUCGUUUAAUUUUGGUGAUGUUGUCCUUUUGAAUCAUGCGUUCAAAUAGAUUUUAGGGUUUUAGAAUGCUGCAGCAGUCGACGCCUGUGUAGAAAGAUGUCUGGUUAUGUGAUUUGCUGAAGCAGAGGUUGGGAAAAGAGAGAGGGGGUAUAAGAAGUGUGGUUAGGCAUGAGUGGUGGAGGUAGAGAGUUUGCGUUUUGCUGUUUGGUGGGUUUUCCUUUUGGCCAUCUCAUUGUUUUGAUCCGUUAGUUAUUUAAGCAAAUUGUUAUGGGUGUGUUGUUUUUUAGAGUCUCCCUUUCUUCGUAUGAGGGUGAUGCCAUUGAUUGAUGAUUAGUCACACUAUUAAUUGCACUGACAAUUUAGUCUUAGUUAUGGAUUUGCAGUGGAUAGAGUUCAUUUUGCGAAGUACAAAAUUGCAUUCACACUUUAGUCUUGGUGUAAAGCAAUAAUUGGCGUAUUGAUUUCAACUCAUCGUUCUCAAGUAUUCUUAAUCUCGCAGGAUGAAGUUGUUGCUAUUAGUGGUGGUGGCUGAGGUGUUUGUUUCUUGGUGUUAAAACUUGGGCAUGCAAGACAGGGUGGAAAAGAUAGCGAAAGUACAAAUGGUUGUUAAACUCUCCAUGUCUUCCUUUCAGACCAUGGGAUAAAUGGAAACUGUGCGCCCAACUCCUGUUAAUCAGUUAAUACCAUACAUAAAGGCGGACAAAAUCAAAAUUCGCAUAUGCAGGAUUUGGAAAUUGACGAUUCCAGGAACCGUUCAAAAGUCUACAAACCUGCACUGCAUAUUGGUUGAUGAAGCGCAACAUGCGGUUGAGGCCUCUACAUUGGAUGUUGAUUAUGAUGUCAUGGCUUAAAAAAUUGAAGAUGGUGCAUGCUAUGAAAUCACCGAAUUUCAAACUAUUAGAAUUAGGGCACAAUACAAGGUGGUGCUGCAUGAAACUCAGGUUUUGUUCACCUCGAAAACAGCUUUCCGAAAAUUAGCAAGUGUGUUUCCGCCCAUCCCUCGCCAUCGAUUUUUCCUACAAGACUAUAACACACUCUACCCUCGCUUAAACAGAGUUGACAUCCUCACAGAUGUCAUUGGUCAUAUAAGCGUUGUGCAGCGGCUGGAACCUAAACAAAUUAAUCAAAGGGUUAUGUACAAGUGUGAUGUGGUUAUCCAAAAUAUUAGGUUAUUUUUCACUUCUUAUCCCUAUUCUUACAUACUGUUUUCAAUAUUUGUUGCUUUGGUGGUAUAAAAAGGUCAAAAAUUUAUUUGUCGUUUCUUUAUCGACAGAAAAGAGGAACUAAUGGUUAUGUUGUGGGCAGACGUUGCUGAAGCUUUUUCUUCUUUGUCAGCAGAGGAAUUUUCUUUGUCAGUCAUUGUUGUUUUCACAAGUCUGAAAGUCAAGAUCUACCUCGGUUUUGUGAUUGUAAAGAAGCUCUGGACAUACUUUCUCCCUCUGCAAUCCAACGAAACGAAGCUCAAAUUUUGCAGACUGCUAAAAAAGCUACAAUUGAUGAAUUGGCUUUUUUGGAUCCAGAUUUGCAUAAGGAUGAUACAUUUGUGUGUAGAGCAUCUGUCAAGCGUUUUGACAUGCGGUUCAACUAGUGGUACAGUGCUUGCCCGAACUGCUUGAAACAGGUGCACAAGGAUCCAACCAUUGGGCAGCUCAUUUGUCAAAAACAUCCAAACCAAAUACCAACGCUGUGGUACAAAGUCAAUCUCAUUCUUGAAGAUGAAACAAAUGAAAUGAAUGCUUUGAUAAUCGGUAAAUGUGGUGAAAAGCUUUUUGGCAUGCCUUGCAAAGACCUGGUAUUAAAUCAAAGACUGGUAGAGCAACAACAGUUGCCAAACGAAUUUCUCAGGCUUAUUGGAUAGAAGAAAAUUUUUCACUUGCGAUUUGGCAACAGGAGGAAUACUUUUUAUUCAAAUGAUAUCCUCAUUCAUAACGUGACUGAAGACACAGUUAUGCAGCCAGCAACUCCACAACCUUUGUCAAGAGAAAUCAUAGUGUCUUCCACCAUUGCUUCAUCUUCGACCUCAACAGUUUAACCCAAUGAGCAGUCGUUUAAACGAAAAAGGGAAUCAAUCAGGCAAGCUCUUUUCACUGGCGGUGAACAAAGUGGAGUAGAGGAAAUUUCAGACACGGAUCCAAGAGAGUUGGAUGAAGUCCUGAUCAAAUUGCUAAAAAAGAACCCAUCCUCAACUGCUGGAAAAUUAGAUGCUACCCCUCCAAAAAAAAGCUAGGUUGGUUUCUUGAAAGGGAACAAUGCAGCAACAUAAGUUGACCUCCAUUGAUAAAAAAUCAUGAUGGUUUUUUGUUAACAUGUAUAAAACAAUAUUUAUGCUAUUUCCCUGUCAUGUAAAUAUGUUUCUGAUCUGAACUUCAAAACAUUUUUUGCCUGUACAUAAACCAGCAUUUGCCAGUGUUUUGUAUCCCAAUGCUGGCUGUGGUUGAAAAGCAGUUCCAGGUACUAAGAUCCAGCAUAUGCCUGGAAUAUUUUUUGUGUAUGUAAACAACCAACUGGUAACCUUUUUUUAUCUAUAUCGUACAAAUUAAAGAUUUCAUUUGUAAGCCUAUUGCAACCUGUGUGUUUUCAAUGGUGUUUACAUUUUGUGAUGUUAUUUUUACAUCUUCUGGACAUGGUGGUCAGUAUACUUUGAGUUGAGACCUACAAUGUUUUUCAAUUGGCAUACAACCAAGUUCUGGUAAACCUUUUUUCUCCAUAUGGCCCAUUUCUUUAUUUAUUCUUUUUCUUAUUUGAGUGUUUGAUAUAUAGGUAAAGUUUAUGUUUAAAUUUUCUUUUUAUGACUGCAGAUUUUGUCUCCACAAUCAGAUGCUAGAUGUCACUGUCUCAUCUCAUUCUUCUUCGCUUUUAGGAACUGCCAAUGCUUCAAUUUCGUCUUUUGUUCAAGUGAAGUUGAGAUUGAUACGAAAGAAGUACGUGUGAUCGCUGCUGUCAAGGUACGGAAUUGAUUAACCUCGACUUUUAAUUGCUUUUCCACUUAUUAAUUUCCGUUUCCAUGUGGAUUCGAAGUUCUUUUCCUUUGCAAUUCUUUGUCUUCAUUUUUCUUACACUUAGUGACUGAGGUUUCCAUUGAUUACAUCCCACUCCUUCUCAUCUGUUCCAAAACUGACUCUUCAAUAUGCAACCAAAAUUUUAACUCAAUUUCUCCUGCGGAUUAAUUUCUUUUUCAGCAAUGCAAUUUUUUUACAUUUUGUAAUUCAUUAAGUUCACAAUUCCUUUCAACUCUCUACAUGUUGAGACCAGCCUCUGUCUUUUCCUUUUCGUUAUGCACUUCACAAGUUACAAUCUUUUCAACGGAAUAUUUUCAGUGAAUUCCAAACAUUGGUCUUCGUGGUUCUCAUCAUUGCAUUGUAAAAAGUUGUCAUUUGGUAUAGAUGAUCUUGGUUUAGCAAAUUGAUAGCGAGAUGGAACACUCCUAACUGCAUUGCAACUCCUAACUACGUUAUAAGGUUGUACAGGAGCAAGGCGUAGCACCGCAGCAUCGCGCGGGCAGUCUUGCUAGUUGGUACUAAAUUGUGGGUACUCAAGUAUUGUUUAUUUUAUUUUUUCAUUUCUUUUAAGACCCCUACUGGAUUUAUCUUAAACUCUCACAUUAUAUAUAAAUGUUGUAUUACUUUUUAAAAAGUAAUGUAAAUAUUGUUUAAUGCUUA